rnacentral:rRNA from 1 species
GUACUCCCCAGGCGGUCUACUUAUCGCGUUAGCUGCGCCACUAAAGCCUCAAAGGCCCCAACGGCUAGUAGACAUCGUUUACGGCAUGGACUACCAGGGUAUCUAAUCCUGUUUGCUCCCCAUGCUUUCGCACCUCAGUGUCAGUAUUAGGCCAGAUGGCUGCCUUCGCCAUCGGUAUUCCUCCAGAUCUCUACGCAUUUCACCGCUACACCUGGAAUUCUACCAUCCUCUCCCAUACUCUAGCCAACCAGUAUCGAAUGCAAUUCCCAAGUUAAGCUCGGGGAUUUCACAUUUGACUUAAUUGGCCACCUACGCGCGCUUUACGCCCAGUAAAUCCGAUUAACGCUUGCACCCUCUGUAUUACCGCGGCUGCUGGCACAGAGUUAGCCGGUGCUUAUUCUGCGAGUAACGUCCACUAUCCAAGAGUAUUAAUCUCGGUAGCCUCCUCCUCGCUUAAAGUGCUUUACAACCAAAAGGCCUUCUUCACACACGCGGCAUGGCUGGAUCAGGGUUCCCCCCAUUGUCCAAUAUUCCCCACUGCUGCCUCCCGUAGGAGUCUGGGCCGUGUCUCAGUCCCAGUGUGGCGGAUCAUCCUCUCAGACCCGCUACAGAUCGUCGCC